GCAUUAAUGGGGUAGUGGUAACCUGGGUCGUUGCCAUAUAGAACUUUAUGUGAUACUUGUUUCGACCCGCCGGGGGUUCGAUUCCCCCUUAAUGCA